rnacentral:lncRNA from 1 species
UCGGAUUUGGCUCCUGGAGGUCUAUUGGGGUCCCACAAAUCUGGCAUUACAUGGGUAACUGCUGGCUUUGGCUACUGGGAGAUCAACGAGGAGAGCUGCUAACACUGGGAGGUCUUUGGAGCCUAGCAUGGUGGUGCACAUCUGUGAUCCAAGCAACUCAGGAGGCUGAGACAGGAAUAUCACGAGUUGGAGGCCAGCCUCAGCAAUUUA